rnacentral:misc_RNA from 1 species
GUCAAUUCCAAUUCAUUUUAUAGCUCAAUCAACAAAGAAACACAAAUACAACUUAAAAUACCUUUAUAAAAAUGGAAAACAUGAGAAAUAAACCCUAAGUUUUGAAUCCAAAACGAAAGAACCAACUAGGAGAAUGAUUAGGUGACAGGAGGAAUACAAAAGAAUUCCCAAUCGGCAAAUAGAUUAUAACAACAAUCAAAAUAUCGUGAUUG